AGCUAUAUAUUAAAGAGAUUUAUUUAUAUAAAUAGGUUUGCUAGCUGAUUGUGUAUAUACGCAGGCCAAUGCUUCUAAUUUCAUAGCAAGCUCGCUUGCUAUGAAAUAGGCAACCAGUAAUAUAAGCAAGUGUGUGCUAUUUAUAGCGCUAGCCUACAAACCUAUAAUUAUAUUAACUCUAAGAGAAAUUUAAUAAUAAACGAAGUGAAUUGAAAUAUCUUAGUAACUUUAGGAAAAGAAAUCAAAAGAGAUUCUAUGAUUAGCGUGAGCUAAAAUAGACUAGCCUAAAAAGUCAAAUGGUGGAUAAACUGUUUAAAUUAAAUGGGGAACCUUCCUCAAAGGCUAAAUAUAAUGUAUAAGCGAUAGUGGAAAGUACCGUGAGGGAACCAAAACAAAAACAGUGAUUUUAUAAGCAGUUCGGGAAAAUAAAAAAAAGUUAGAACGUACCUUUUGCAUAAUGGGUCACCAAGUUAACAUUAGAUGCGAGUAGGAGGCUUUGCCCAUACAUACGUAGUUAAACCGAGCGUUAAAAUAACGGUAAGUAUCUAAAGUUAGACCCGAAGCCUGGUGAUUUUACCAUAAUCAGGAUUAUAAAAGUCCGAACGGAAUAUUGUAGCAUAAAUAUCCGAAGAAUUAUGGUAGGUGUAGUGAAAGACAAUACUGACCAGGAUAGCUGGUUUUCUGCGAAACCUAUAACAGUAGGCAAUUUAAGUAUAAUAUCUUAGCAGGUACAGAAUUUAAUCUCAGACAAGACAUAAGGCUUAGCUUGCUAGCAAGUAAAGCUCAUGUUUUAUUUUGUACAAAUUGGGGGAUCAUGAAGAUUUUAUCAGUGAGUAUGUAGACUCGGAAUGGCAAAGAUAUAUCUUAAAUCAUCAGACAUAGAAUGAUAAGGUUGUAUGUCAAAAGGGAAACAGCCCAGAACAAGAGUUAAGGUUCCUAAAUUAUUAGUUGAGUGAAAUUAAGAAGGUUUUUAUUAAAGUCGACAAGGAGAUAGGCUUAGAAGCAGCCAUAAUUUUAUGACCUCGUAACAGAGCGCUUGUUAAGUUUUAAAAGCAUCGAAAAUUUAUCGGAUCUAAACAAUAUACCGAAACCUUGUCCAUAUUAUUUUAUAAUUAAAGCUUAAUUAUAAUUAAAUGGGGUAGCAGAACGUUGAGCUAAAUUAAGAUUUUUAUUUUUUAAAUGAAAUUAUAAUAAUUUAACUCAAGUGAUAAUGGUGACAUGAGUAACUAAAAGAAAAAAUAAAAUUUUUCCGCCUAAAGCUUAUGGAUGUAAUUAAGUAACGGCCUCUAAGUUUAUAUUAUCUAAAGAUUUAAACGAUGAGAUAAUCUUUUGUACUAAGGACGACAUUUUAAGUGAAAAAUGUACUGGAAAAAUAGUACUAAAUUAAUGGGUAUAGCUAAUUAGUUAGCUAUAGCUAUAAAUGAAAAGUAACCGUACCUAGAAUCUGAAACAAGUAAGCUAGUAGAGAAUACGAAGGCGUAAAUGAGCUAACAAUCAUAAAGGAACUCGGCAAAUUGACUACCGUAACUUCGGGAUAAGGAGAGCUCAUUAUUCUUGAUUAAUAUCAGGUAAAGAGGAAGAAGCAUGAAAUAGUGUUGUACGACUGUUUAAUUAAAACACAGCACUUUGCUGAAAGAUUAAAAAUCUAAGUAUAGAGUGUGAUGUCUGCCCGGUGCCGGCUGGUUAACAGAUAUAAUUAAAUAUACUAAUAUUUGAUGUAGACGGAAACCCCGGUUAAAGGCGGCCUUAACGUGAGGGUCCUAAGGUAGCGAAAUGCCUUGGCCGUUAAAUGCGGUCUUGCAUGAAUGAUGUAACGAUACAACAGCUGUCUCUAUGAUUGACUCAGUGAAAUUGGAAUAGCUGUGCAGAUACAGUUUACCUCUAGUUAGACGAGAAGACCCUAUGCAGCUUUACUGUCACUAAUUAUAGAGUAUGAUAAACAAUUUUCAGAUUAUAAGGUAAUUGACGGCUAGCUUGUUCAGCAAGCUAGCUCUAUGACAAUGAGAAUCCUUUAUUUUUUUUUCAUAUGAAUGAAUUGGUUUAGGAUUAUGAGUAGGUAGCGGCUUCUGCUACUUGGCGCAAGCAUUGCUUGCGUCAGGUGUCUGAAGUAUGCAUACCAGCUCAUGUAUAGUAAAUCAACCUAAUUCAGCUUAUUUUCCUUUCUGCCAUAAGCGCAUAAUGAUAGAUUUAACUUAAAUUUUGAUUUAUGCCAGCUGCAGAAAUAGAUAAGUACCCUUGGCUAAGGAACUAUCGCUAGGGGACAGUUUAUGUGGGGCACAGACCCUGUAAAGAGUAAACAGGAGUGUCUAAUAAUUUAUAAUUAUUUUGUUUGCGAUUUAAGAUAGUGAAACUAUUUUUAAUCAUAUAAAAUUAUUUAUAUGUACAUUCGUUGUAUAUAUAUUUAAAAAAAGGUAGGAUUUUCACUAUAUAGAAAUUAGAGAUAAUAAAAAUAUUAAGAAUAUACGUUUCAGGCUGGGAGGGGGAAGCUCCUCCCUUUGAAAGGUAGCACUAAUAUUUUUUAGCUAUUAAGACAGGCUAUCAAGCUAGGCUCUAAUAGUUAUGUAUUAAUUAUCUAAAAAGCUCAACGGCUAAAUCUUGCCUUACUGUUUGAUUAUCAACAAAUCUUACAGUUGCGUAAGCAGGGCAUAGGAUCACAAGAUGCAACAAGGAAAGAUCUUGGAUUAUUGGAAAAGCUACGCUAGGGAUAACAGGCUAAUUUGCGCAAGAGUGUACAAAAUGAGUGCGCGGUUUGGCACCUCGAUGUCGGCUUAACUUAUCCUCAUGGAUGCAGGAACUAUGUAGGGUGCGACUGUUCGUCGAUUAAAAAGUUACAUGAGCUGGGUUAAAUACGUCGUGAGACAGUAUGGUUUCUAUCUUCUAGGGGGAAUUAGAAUAUAAUAAGAACUAACUUUUGUACGAAAGGAACAAGAAGAAUUUAAUUUGUAAAAGGGUUAAAUAAUAGUUACUAACCUAUGGUUUACCUGUUGUCUAUGUGCCCAAAUAUUAAAAUAUAUAUGGAGGAAGCUCCUUAAGAGCUUCCCCCGCAAAUUAUAUAUAUCUGUAUAGCUAGCCUGCGGACUCCGGUUAUGCCUGAGUUUGGCAAGCUAAAGCUAUACAUAGGGAUGUUUCUUUCACUAAGAUAAAUAUAUAGCAUAGGCACGGCAGGAAAGCUAAGUUGGUUAAGGAUAAGUGCUGAAAGCAUAUAGGCACGAAGCUUAUCUUAAGAUAUUUCUUAAAUAUACGUAAAAUAUUAUUACGAAGGAUGUAAUAUAGGCUUUAUCCGUACGAAUCAGGAGAUUUUUAAGAAUAAAGUACUAAUUUUAUAAAUAACUAUUUAU
rnacentral:rRNA from 1 species